rnacentral:rRNA from 1 species
GACGAACGCUGGCGGCGUGCUUAACACAUGCAAGUCGAACGGAAAGGCUCUGCUUUUGUGGGGUGCUCGAGUGGCGAACGGGUGAGUAACACGUGAGUAACCUGCCCUGGACUUUGGGAUAACUUCAGGAAACUGGGGCUAAUACCGGAUAGGAGCUCGUGCUGCAUGGUGGGGGUUGGAAAGUUUCGGCGGUUGGGGAUGGACUCGCGGCUUAUCAGCUUGUUGGUGGGGUAGUGGCUCACCAAGGCUUUGACGGGUAGCCGGCCUGAGGGGGUGACCGGCCACAUUGGGACUGGAAUACGGCCCAGACUCCUACGGGAGGCAGCAGUGGGGAAUAUUGCACAAUGGGCGGAAGCCUGAUGCAGCAACGCCGCGUGCGGGAUGACGGCCUUCGGGUUGUAAACCGCUUUCGCCUGUGACGAAGCGUGAGUGGCGGUAAUGUGUAAAGAAGCACCGGCUAACUACGUG